GAAGAGAAAGCCAAACCCGUCGUGAGGCGGGGACGGAAAGCCACGGGUCUUUUUCGGCAAUAAUGCCGGGAUACAAGAUAGCCGGGUUGCCAAGA
rnacentral:ncRNA from 1 species